rnacentral:rRNA from 1 species
AAACCUACGGGGGGCAGCAGUGGGGAAUAUUGCACAAUGGGGGAAACCCUGAUGCAGCGACGCCGCGUGAGUGAAGAAGUAAUUCGUUAUGUAAAGCUCUAUCAGCAGGGAAGAAAAUGACGGUACCUGAGUAAGAAGCCCCGGCUAACUACGUGCCAGCAGCCGCGGUAAUGCGUAGGGGGCAAGCGUUAUCCGGAUUUACUGGGUGUAAAGGGAGCGUAGACGGCAGUGCAAGUCUGGAGGGAAAGGCGGGGGCUCAACCCCCGGACUGCCCUUGGGACUGCUUGGCUGGAGUGCGGGAGGGG